GGAAUUCGAUUAACGCGAAGAACCUUACCUGGGCUCGAAAUGUUACGGACCGGCUUAUGAAAGUAGGCCUUCCCGCAAGGGACCGUAGUAUAGGUGCUGCAUGGCUGUCGUCAGUUCGUGUCGUGAGAUGUUGGGUUAAGUCCCGCAACGAGCGCAACCCUUGUCCUGUGUUGCCAUACCGAAAGGUGGAACUCGCAGGAGACCGCCAGGGAUAACCUGGAGGAAGGUGGGGAUGACGUCAAGUCCUCAUGGCCUUUAUGUCCAGGGCUACACACGUGCUACAAUGGACGGUACAAAGGGCUGCCAACCCGCGAGGGGGAGCCAAUCCCAAAAAACCGUUCUCAGUUCGGAUUGCAGGCUGCAACUCGCCUGCAUGAAGCUGGAAUCGCUAGUAAUGGCGGAUCAGAACGCCGCCGUGAAUACGUUCCCGGGCCUUGUCACACCGAAUCACUA
rnacentral:rRNA from 1 species